rnacentral:rRNA from 1 species
AAGAGACAGCAGUCGCCGCGGGAAUACGUAGGGUGCGAGCGUUAAUCGGAAUCACUGGGCGUAAAGCGAGCGCAGACGGUUACUUAAGCAGGAUGUGAAAUCCCCGGGCUCAACCUGGGAACUGCGUUCUGAACUGGGUGACUAGAGUGUGUCAGAGGGAGGUAGAAUUCCACGUGUAGCAGUGAAAUGCGUAGAGAUGUGGAGGAAUACCGAUGGCGAAGGCAGCCUCCUGGGAUAACACUGACGUUCAUGCUCGAAAGCGUGGGUAGCAAACAGGAUUAGAUACCCCAGUAGUCCCUGUCUCUUAUAC